CCCAGCUACUCCAGAGGCUGAGGCAGGGGAAUUGCUUGAACCCAGGCAGUGAAGGUUGCAGUGAGCUGAGAUCGCGCCACUGCACUCCAGCUUAGCUACAGAGCGAGACUCUGUCUCAAAAAAAAAAAAAAAAGUAAAUGUCCAAUCCAAUAACAUUGUAAUUAUUAAGAAUAACAUGGAAUGAUGCUACAGUGGAGAAUACCAUGUGGCUAUUAAAAGUAACAGUUAACAAAAGUAACAUUAGUUAAGGUUAGAAUACUAUGUAGCUAUUAGUUUUGAUUUUUUUUUUUUUUUUUUUUUUUUUUUUGAGACAGAGUCUCACUCUUGCCCAGGCUGGAGUGCAGUGGCAUGAGCUUGGCUCACUGCAACCUCCAACUCCUGGGUUCAAGCAAUUCUCCUGUCUCAGCCUCCUGAGUAGCUGGGAUUACAGACAUGCGCCACCACGCCUGGCUAAUUUUUUGUAUUUUUUAGUAGAGACGGAGUUUCACCAUGUUGGUCAAGCUGGUCUCAAACGCCUAACCUCAGGUGAUCCACACGCCUCAGCCUCCCAAAGUGCUGGGAUUACAGGCAUGGGCCACCACUCCCGGCUGUAGCUAUUAGUUUUGAAUCUUACAUGUUGGAAACUAGACUGCUCUGCUUAUAGUAUAUAACUUAAUUCUCUCAAACCACCUCUCCCGAUGAGAAGGCAAUUUUAACCUAUUUGACAAAUCCUUGGACCAAGUUGAAACAUGACAUGUGUAUAUGAAAUACUGUACAUUUUCCAGAAUCAGAAAUACAUGCUUUGCACACAGGUAAGAAUUUUAUUAACAGCAGUAGGAAGGGAACUUGCAGGGAUGUGAAUUAGUAAAUUUAUAUUCUUUAGUUUCCUUUUAAAAAUAUUUUUAGGCCAGGUGUGGUGGCUCACGCCUGUAAUCCCAGCACUUUGGGAGGCCAAGGUGGGCGGAUCACGAGGUCAGGAGAUUGAGACCAUCCUGGCGAACAUGGUGAAACCCCUUCUCUACUAAAAAUACAAAAAAUUAACCAGGCAUGGUGGCGGGCACCUGUAGUCCCAGCUACUCGGGAG
rnacentral:lncRNA from 1 species